UACAGAGGUCCCGAGCGUUGUUCGGAUUCACUGGGCGUAAAGGGUGCGUAGGUGGUGAGGUAAGUCGGAUGUGAAAUCUCCGAGCUCAACUCGGAAAUGGCAUUGGAAACUACCUUGCUCGAGGGUUGGAGGGGGGACUGGAAUACUUGGUGUAGCAGUGAAAUGCGUAGAUAUCAAGUGGAACACCAGUGGCGAAGGCGACUCUCUGGUCUGUAACUGACGCUGAGGCGCGAAAGCGUGGGGAGCAAACAGG
rnacentral:rRNA from 1 species